AAUAAAGUGCCUGAAUAAAGGAUUAUCUUGAUAGGAUAAAUUAUGCAAGCAAUUGCCUUUAUUA
rnacentral:tRNA from 1 species